rnacentral:rRNA from 1 species
AAAGGUUUCCGUGAGAUUGGUUCAUCCACUCAGGGUUAGUCGAUACCUAAGCCGAGGCCAAUUGGAGUAGGCGAUGGAAAACAGGUUAAUAUUCCUGUACCAUUUAUAAGCGUUUGAGCAAUGGGGUGACGCAGGAGGGUAGGUUUACUUGGACUUUGGAUUGCCAAGCUAAGCACAAAGAGGGACAUUAUAGGUAAAUCCGUUUUGUCAUAACCUUGAAGUGUUACGGGUCUCUAUCUUCCUAGUGGAGAUGGGGAUUAGAUUGAUCCCACGCUGACCAGAAAAACCUCUAGCGAGCUCUAUGAGUGAUCGUACCGCAAACCGACACAGGUAGAUGGGCUGAGAAUGCUCAGGCGUUGAGAUAACUAUCAUUAAGGAACUCGGCAAAAUGACCCCGUAACUUCGGGAGAAGGGGUGCCUACUAUGUAAUAAAGUGCAUGUGUAGGUUACAACAAAGAGGCCCAACCGACUGUUUAACAAAAACACAGGGCUCUGCUAACUCGUAAGAGGAUGUAUAGAGUCUGACGCCUGCCCAGUGCCGGAAGGUUAAUAGGAGAGGUUAGCCGCAAGGCGAAGCUUUGAAUUGAAGCCCCGGUAAACGGCGGCCGUAACUAUAACGGUCCUAAGGUAGCGAAGUCCCUUGUCGGGUAAGUUCCGACCUGCAUGAAUGGCGUAACGAGUUGGGCGCUGUCUUAAUGAUAGACUCAGUGAAUUUGUAGUACCGGUGAGAAUGCCGGUUUCCCGCAACUGGACGGAAAGACCCCGUGCACCUUUACUGUAACUUGACAUUGCUCUUUGGGUUGCUAUGUGUAGGAUAGGUGGGAGGCUAUGAAGUUGGAACGCUAGUUCCAAUGGAGCCAACCUUGAAAUACCACCCUUAGCAAUUUGAAGAUCUAACCUAGACCCGUUAUCCGGGCUGGAGACCGUGUCUGGUGGGCAGUUUGACUGGGGUGGUCGCCUCCUAAAAUGUAACGGAGGCAUACAAAGGUUCCUUCAAGACGAAUAGAAAUCGUCGGUAGAGCGUAAAGGCAUAAGGGAGCUUAACUGCGAGACAUACAAGUCGAGCAGAUGCGAAAGCAGGUCUUAGUGAUCCAGUGGUUCCGAGUGGAAGGGCCAUAGCUAAAUGGAUAAAAGGUACGCCGGGGAUAACAGGCUGAUCUCCUCUGAGAGUCCAUAUCGACGAGGAGGUUUGGCACCUCGAUGUCGGCUCAUCGCAUCCUGGGGCUGGAGAAGGUCCCAAGGGUUUGGCUGUUCGCCAAUUAAAGCGGUACGUGAGCUGGGUUCAGAACGUCGCAAGACAGUUCGGUCCUUAUCCGUUGUGGGCGUAGGGUAUCUGAGAGGGCUUGUUCCUAGUACGAGAGGACCGGAAUGAGUGAGCCUCUGGUGUUCCAGUUGUUUACCACAAGCAAGCUGGGUAGCUAAGCUCAUUAGAGAUAACCGCUGAAAGCAUCUAAGUGGGAAACUUGCCUCAAGAUUAGAUACUCG